rnacentral:lncRNA from 1 species
CCUAAGAUAGUAUGAGUCUUACCUGAUGUGAGCAAAAUGGGGGCCCUGUGGCUUGCCAGGUGGUCACUGGUAAAUUGCACAAGGCUUACUCCAGUGGUGACUGGGUGGGGAGAAGGGAAGCGCACUUAUAUAGACUCAUGUAUAAAUAGAUACUUGUAAUAUACGAGCAUCUGCUCUGUGGAAGAUGUUUUUUUCCAGGCCCAGAAGUGUAAGAUCCGGUGCCUAUCUUCAGGCGGGUGGCAAACAAACAUCACAUAAAGGAGAGUGUCUGGCUUGUGUCUUCUGGGUACGUGAUCCCCCUGACUUCAGUGUGAGAAUGUGGCCAGAGCGUCUGGGGAAGACAGGGAGAGUUGUCAGAGAGGAGUUUUGAGGAGGCCCUGAAGGCUCGCCGGCUGUUAAGGCCUGAGCUGUAGUGGGCAAGAAGAGAUGGCCAGUUCAGGUAGAGGAAGCCUGCUUUGAGCUGAAGACCGGAGGUGAAUCUGGACAGGGCUUCCCAGGACCAGUAUUUUUCCCUCUCCACCCUGGUCUUCUCCUGUAACGUGUGGCCGCCUUUUCCAGCACGGCCUCCUGCCUUCCUGGUGCACUUUUUGGAGAACGUGGUGGAAUCAGAGGUUUCUGGCUGACUCGGUGGGUGCUUUGAACCAGGAAAGGACAAGAAAGAGGAUGGGAAGGACUGAUCCACAUUCCCACCAGGAAGUUUAGCAGAACCCCCGCGUGCCACCUGGACCCCUUGGAAGGACCUGGCUCAGGCUGGACCACCUCUUGAGAGGCAGGAGCUCUGGAUUUGAUCAAGAAUUCUUUGCUGAGCAUGGUGCCUCAUGCCUAUAAUCCCAACACUUUGGGAGGCCAGUGUGGGAGGAUCUCUUGAGCCCAGGAGUUCAAGACUAGCCUGGGCAACACAGAGAGACCCCAUCUCUAAAAUAAUAAUAAUAAUAAAAUAAAAAAUUAGCAGGGCAUGGUGGCAUGUGCCUGUAGUCCCAGCUACCCAGGAGGCUGAGGCAAGAGGAUGGCUGGAGCCUGGGAUGUUGAGGCUGCAAUGAACUGUGAUUACCCCACUGCACUCCAGCCUGGGCAAAAGAGCGAGAGACCCUGUCUCAAAUAAUAAUAAUAAUAAUAAUCUUAUUUUGGAGAAUAAAGAGACCUCUGGAUUUGAGGUGCCAUUUGGGUAGAAAGAAAAGACGUUUACACCGAGAAAUAGUCUGUGUUGCCCUGAAGGAGCAGAGGGAUGCAUCGCUGGAGGUGACCUACAGUUGAAGAAGACUCAUUAUGACAGACCUUGUCCUUCUUCCUUGUGGAAAGUGUUUCCUCUGCUGCUACUGCUCAUGAGACUCUUCCCCCUCCCUGUCCCAGGGAACCAAAGGGCUUUCUACCACACCCUUUCUUGCCCCCCGCCUCCCAUGUCUGCUGUGCCUUUGUACUCAGCAAUUCUUGUUUGCUCCAUUAUCUUCCAGCCGGAUACAGAGUGAAUAGUUAACCACACUUAGGUCAAAUAGGAUCUAAAUUUUUGUUCCUGCUCCGUGUAAAGAGGCCAGUGUUUGUGUGUUGCAAGCAGCCUUGGAAUAGUAACUCUUCUCAUUUGUUUGGGAUCUGGCCACCAAGUUCCAGAAUGAUACACGGAUCAGUGCAGAAGUUCAUCAGGCUCUCGGACCUUAGGGCUGUUGGAGAAGGCUUCAGCAGCAGAACUGAUGGUGAAGGCUCGUGUUCUCCAUCCUCAACUUUCUUUGCUUCGAUCAUACACAAGAAUACAUUUGGAAGGGCAAAAAAUGAACACUGUCGUUCAUUGCAGCCGUGUUUUGUGACACAGAUGCACAGUCUGCUGUGAAGACCUUCUCUCAAGUGGCAUUUGGGAGUCCAUGCCAGAUCAUGGUGCUUCAUGAGAGACUGACAGCUAUCAGGGGUUGUGGCACUUAGUGAGGACUCUCCUCCCCCAGUGUGUGCUGAUGACACAUACACACCUGACAAUAGCUUGAGUCUUCUCUGUUCCUUUUACUCUGUAGCCAACAUACACAUGAUUUAAAACCCUUUCUAAAUAUCUAUCAUGGUUCAUCCUUGUCCAAAUGCAGAGUCAGAGCUAUUUGUACUUCAUUAUUAUUUCCAAGGCG